CGUGCGUAUGUGAGCGUGCCUGCGUGAGCGUGCAUAUGUGAGCGUGCGUACGUGAGCGUGCGUACGUGCGUGAACGUCUAUUGAUUGUUAAGUCUUUCAAGCAUGAAUUAACACUUUAUGGUUAUUAUGCCAGCCCGGAAUAUUCAGUCUAAGCUCAGCUUCUACAAUUGAUUUGGCAGGAAUGAAAUCCGCGUUUGUCUACAGCAGAUUCGGCAGGGACCAGGCCUUCCGUGACCGCAACUUGUUGGAGAGAAGAUUGAGAUCUAUGAUAUACUGCAAUUCUUGGAAAAUACUCAAUGCAUUCUCAGAAAUUCUAUUCACACAGUAAAAAGAUAGAGACAAU
rnacentral:lncRNA from 1 species